rnacentral:lncRNA from 1 species
AGUGGUCUCCAGAACUGGAUGCUAUCGACAAAGGUCAGUGGGGAAAAUUUUCUGGAUGACGAUCGUGCCAUGCAAUGCUGACUCUGAAAAUAACACGUUUUGAAAUCGGUGGAACACAACCGGCCAAACAAGCUGUGUAAACUAAACAGAAACACAGGGGUUGUAGUCUGCCAUGAAGCUUUCAUCCAUGUAUACAGCAUCAAUCAGUAGAAUACGCCUGACUCUAAUCCACCAGUCAUACAGUUACCAAAACUCACCAAGUUUGCCCCCGACUGGUGCUUCGGCCUUAUCAAGUGGCGCUUCAGAAAGACCAGAGUGAACACUGUCUGAGAUUUCUAGUGUUGUGAAGGACAGCAUUGUGACGGGUCAACAUCUCACAGCUGGUUGGACUGGAGGAUGGUACGGUGCUGGUGGAAAGCUAUGGCUGGCAUCAACACCUGACUCCGUACUUCAGGCUGCUGCCACAGAGCAAGCAGAGCACAACAGGUAAAAAAUUAUUUUCAUUAAGGUUAUUCU